UACAGGGGGGGCAAGCGUUGUUCGGAAUUACUGGGCGUAAAGCGCGCGUAGGCGGCUUUGUAAGUUAGAGGUGAAAGCCCGGAGCUCAACUCCGGAAUUGCCUUUAAGACUGCAUCGCUUGAAUCAUGGAGAGGUGAGUGGAAUUCCGAGUGUAGAGGUGAAAUUCGUAGAUAUUCGGAAGAACACCAGUGGCGAAGGCGACUCACUGGACAUGUAUUGACGCUGAGGUGCGAAAGCGUGGGGAGCAAACAGG
rnacentral:rRNA from 1 species